rnacentral:rRNA from 4 species
AACGACUCUCGGCAACGGAUAUCUCGGCUCUCGCAUCGAUGAAGAACGUAGCGAAAUGCGAUACUUGGUGUGAAUUGCAGAAUCCCGUGAACCAUCGAGUCUUUGAACGCAAGUUGCGCCCGAAGCUUCUGGCCGAGGGCACGCCUGCCUGGGCGUCACGC